GAUGAACGCUGGCGGCGUGCUUAACACAUGCAAGUCGAACGAAGCACUUUAUUUGAUUUUCUUCGGAAAUGAAGAUUUUGUGACUGAGUGGCGGACGGGUGAGUAACGCGUGGAUAACCUGCCUCAUACAGGGGGAUAACAGCCGGAAACGGCUGCUAAUACCGCAUAAGCGCACGGUACCGCAUGGUACAGUGUGAAAAACUCCGGUGGUAUGGGAUGGAUCCGCGUCUGAUUAGCCAGUUGGCGGGGUAACGGCCCACCAAGUCGACGAUCGGUAGCCGGACUGAGAGGUUGAACGGCCACAUUGGGACUGAGACACGGCCCAGACUCCUACGGGAGGCAGCAGUGGGGAAUAUUGCACAAUGGGGGAAACCCUGAUGCAGCGACGCCGCGUGAGCGAAGAAGAUCCUCGGAUUGUAAACCUCUGUCUUCGGGGACGAAAGAAGACGGUACCCGAGGAGGAAGCCACGGCUAACUACGUG
rnacentral:rRNA from 1 species